rnacentral:rRNA from 1 species
AGGGCUUAUGGUGGAUGCCUUGGGACCAAGGGCCGAAGAAGGACGCGGUAAGGCUGCGAAAAGCCUCGAUGAGCCGUCUAACAGGCGUAGUCGGGGAUCUCCGAAUUGGGUAACCUGUUCCGGCGUUGAGUCGGUCCACCCGCAUUGCGGGAGGUAAGUGGGGGAACUGAAACAUCUAAGUACCCCGAGGAAAAGAAAUCAACCGAGAUUCCCUUAGUAGUGGCGAACGAACGGGGAACAGCCCAAACCGCGGCGACCAAACGGCAUGAGGGCCUGUGUCGUUGCGGGGUUACAGGACACUUCUGGGGUCGCCUCAUCAGGCUCCGGGGAGUUACAAACUUCAUCUCUAGUCGAAGGACCCUGGGAAGGGCCGCCGUAGACGGUGACAGCCCGGUAGACGAAAGGGAUGGAGCUUCCGAAGUUGAUCCUAAGUACCAUGGGGCACGUGAAACCCUGUGGGAAGUUGGGGGGACCACCCUCCAAGGCUAAAUACCCUUGGUCACCGAUAGCGCACCAGUACCGUGAGGGAAAGGUGAAAAGAACCCCUGGCGGGGAGUGAAAUAGACCUGAAACCAUAAGCCUACAGAAUGUCGGAGUCUGCUUUUUGCGGAUGACGGCGUGCCUAUUGAAGAAUGAUCCGGGGACUUACUGUAUGGAGCGAGGUUAAGGGACUGUAGUUCCGGAGCCGUAGCGAAAGCGAGUCUGAACAGGGCGACCAGUUCCAUGUAGUAGACCCGAAACCGAGUGAGCUACCCAUGGCCAGAUUGAAGGUUCGUUAACGCGAACUGAAGGAUCGAACUCGUGGCUAGUACAAAAGCCUGGGAUGAGCUGUGGGUAGAGGUGAAAUGCUAAUCGAACUCGGAAAUAGCUGGUUCUCCCCGAAAUGCAUUUAGGUGCAGCCUCGGGAACUAGGAGGACGGAGGUAGGGCACUGAAUGGGCUAGGGGGCGUGAGCUUACCAAACUCAAUCAAACCACCAAUGCCGUUCUACCGAUACCCGGGAGUGAGACAGUCACAGAUAAGUGCGAUUGUCGAAAGGGAAACAGCCCAGACCACCGGCUAAGGCCCCCAAGCGCAGACUAAGUGGGAAACGAGGUAGGGUUCCCAAAACAGCCAGGAGGUUGGCUUAGAAGCAGCCACCCUUUAAAGAGUGCGUAAUAGCUCACUGGUCGAGGGAUCCUGCGCGGAAAAUGUAACGGGGCUCAAGUCUGUCGCCGAAGCCGUGGAUGUACAGGUAUUAGUACCUGGGCAUGGUAGGGGAGCGUUCCUCGGGCGACGAAGGUAAGUCGUGAGGCUUGCUGGAGCGCGGGGAAGUGAGAAUCCCGGAAUGAGUAGCGUAAAUCAGGGUGAGAAUCCCUGACACCGAAAGCCCAAGGUUUCCUACGCAACGUUGUUCGGCGUAGGGUUAGUCGGUCCUAAGCCGUAGGCAAGAGCCGAAGGCGAUGGACAGCAGGUUAAUAUUCCUGCACCGCCGUUGUUUCGAUUUAAAACCAAGGAGGGGUGCGGGAGGCUAGGCGGGGCGUGCCCAUUGGACAUGGUGCGUCCUUGCUUGUAGGCGUGCCGGGGCAGGCAAAUCCACCCUGGUGUUAAGCUGAGGAGUGAGGGAAUCCUGACCUACGGGAAAGGAGACCCCGUUGAGGCCAUACCGACAAGAAAAGCUUCGUGGUUAUGGAACCGCGGCGACCGUACCGCAAACCGCCACUGGUGGGCUGGGAUAAACGUCCCUAGGUGUUCGAGCUAACCUCCGCUAAGGAACUAGACAAAAGGGCCCCGUAACUUCGGGAGAAGGGGCCCCCUGGAUGGUGAAGCCACUAGCUGGUGGAGCUGUCUGGGGGCGCAGAGAAGAAGGCCGGGCGACUGUUUAACAAAAACACAGGUCUGUGCUAAGGGGAAACCCUACGUAUACAGGCUGACGCCUGCCCAGUGCCGGAAGGUUAAGGGGCGGUGUGCAAGCACCAAACUGAAGCCCCGGUGAACGGCGGCCGUAACUCUAACGGUCCUAAGGUAGCGAAGUCCCUUGUCGGGUAAGUUCCGACCCGCAUGAAUGGUUGAACGACUUGGCCAUUGUCUCGGCGGGGGGCUCGGUGAAAUUGCGGUGCCCGUGAAGACGCGGGCGACCCGCGGCAGGACAAAAAGACCCCGUGGAGCUUUACUGUAGCCUGGCAUUGGGUUGGGAACUGUCAUGUGUAGGAUAGGUGGGAGACUUAGAAGCGCCUACGCCAGUAGGUGUGGAGUCGUCGUUGAAAUACCACCCUUGGCUGUUUUUGGUUCUAACCUCAGCAACACUGAGGAACAGUGCUUGGUGGGCAGUUUAACUGGGGCGGUUGCCUCCAAAAAAGUAACGGAGGCGCCCAAAGGUCCUCUCAGGACGGAUGGAAAUCGUCCACAGAACGCAUUGGCAUAAGAGGGCUUGACUGCGAGACCUACAAGUCGAGCAGGGACGAAAGUCGGGCAAAGUGA